UGUGUGACGUGUAUUUAGGUGUCUCUAACCUGUGUGACGUGUAUUUAGGUGUCUCUCUGUAACCUGUGUGACGUGUAUUUAGGUGUCUCUGUAACCUGUGUGACGUGUAUUUAGGUGUCUCUGUAACCUGUGUGACGUGUAUUUAGGUGUCUCUCUGUAACCUGUGUGACGUGUAUUUAGGUGGCUCUCUGUAACCUGUGUGACGUGUAUUUAGGUGUCUCUUGUACCUGUGUGACGUGUAUUUAGGGUCUCUCGUAACCUGUGUGACGUGUAUUA
rnacentral:lncRNA from 1 species